CAAGAUCGACUUACCUGUUCCACGCCCACCUGCAUGUCUUCCAUGCAAACAAUGCUACGUCCUCCCCUCCUUUCCCUACUUAUACCCUUCUCCUCCUCCCCUGUUUUCCCACGGACAGAUCUUCCACUACCCCGUUUGAGCAUAUUUCCAACACAAUUUGAAUUUUCCCCAAAAUGAAGCAGCAAUCGACGAAAUGGGUGGCGAUGGGCGUGUUGGUCCUCAUCUCCUUCACAAUGGCAGUGGCAGAGUGCGAGGAGAAGAACCAGGGGAGGCAGCAACAGUGUGACCCGCAGCGGCUGUCUGAGUGCAGAAAUUUCAUGAGAGGGUAGUCUGAGUACGGGCAGGGGCAGCAGGGGCAGCCCCCACGCAGGUGCUGCGAAGAGCUGCGGCAGAUGCCUCAGCAGUGCCGUUGCGACGCCAUUCAGCGAGUGUUCGACCAAGAGCAGGGAGAGGGAGAGGGAGAGGGAGAAUACUUCAAUCAGCAGGGAGGUGGCAAGGGCGAGAACGCCAACAAGAAAUAUUGGAGAGAGCCAGAGAACUCCCUUCUCGCUGCAACACUGCACCACGCCGCUGCAACAUUCAACGACGCGGCAUUUUCAUGACAGGAAAUAUCUGGUAGAUUAUCUAUGGUUCGUAAUAUGUACGUACAGACUUAAAUAAAAGUUGUGUCGCCUCUGCUAAGUCUUUAGUGUUUUGUUGUUGAGGAAUUGUGGGCAGAUCAUCGUGUGCAGUUCCAAAAGUAGAGCUGAAGGCAAAGUGGUUUUUGUUUAUUCUUAAGAUAUGUAAAAUCCUCUCCAUGCUUCAAUGAAGAACUUUUUAAAGUUACCAAA